UUCUGAUUGUGCAUAGGUGAUGGCUCAUUCAACACUAAUCUGUUUAUUUUUUUGGUUUUGCUAAAUAGGAGUUACCAUGUAUCCUGCAUCCACAGAGAAAUCUUCCACUUCCGGAAACAACUAAGAUAAGGAUAAUAGGAUGGAAAAAGAAGUAGUGGACUCAGUGAUAUCCAUAAUUCAUACCCAUCCUUUGGGGACAGGACUUGAGGGGGAAAAAAAUCAGUAACCAAGAAAAAAAUUAUAGCAUGUACUUUUGAAGUCUCCAUACCAAGGCCUAGCUCUGCGAUAUGUUGGAAUCUUCACCCAGGGUCCGUGGAACUUUGGUGGUCUCUUGGCACAGGUACUAAGUUACCACCUGGGGAAUGGUGAGGUACCACGGCGGGGACUUCUGCAAGGACUCAGGGGCACUGUGCGGCAUGGAGGCUCUGUGGUCAAGCCCUAGUGCCUGAGGUGAAGGAGCCUACUGAGCUGCUUGUCACUAUAAAAGACCUGAGUGUUCACAUUUAAAUUGUGC